AAAUCACAAGAUCAUCUUUCACUUCCUCGAAUGAAGUUAGGGCUUAUAACUUUGUUUCUUGACGCAAACACGAACCAUCUCUUGACUUCAAGCUGUGGAUGGGUCGUCUUCUCCGGUGCUUGAGCUGUCCUUCACUCUAUGCGUCAAUCACGUGUGCAGUGCGUCUUCCGUCAACAACGUGCCAUGCUUGAUUGUAGUGAACAAUUAUUUUGUAACUGUAACUUACAUAUGCAAUUCCUUUAAUUUACGUGUCAACACUUGCUAUAUAUUAUUUAUAAAUAUAUAUUAUAUAAAUUAUAAAUUCCAAAACUUUCCUCCUUGAACUGAACUCCGGCGCAUUCGGCAAUCGACUUGUGUGGACUUCCUGUAAACACGGACCUCCCGGUAAUGCUUGUUAAACUGUCUUUUUAAAUAAACUCCGGGUUUGCAAACUAAGUUGUUUGUGCUUCGUUUUAUGUGUAGGGACCCUAGUCAUGCUACUGCAGAGGUUUGGUGCUAUUUAGUGGUUCAAAAAUGCGGAUUUAGAAGCGAAACACUAUGCCCCAAGUCAACAACAUGGACGCCAAACAUUGCGCCCGGCAAACUAUAAUACUCGAUUUUCAAUGAAAAAGGUAUCUGGGAGGCUUAUUUGAUGGGUUUUAAUGCCAAAACAAAGAUCCUGGGUUCAAUUUGCGCCGGAAUUACACUUUAACACCACCACCCUGCGUCCUCGGCCAGUAAACGUCACCUAGGAGCUGUGGAGCAGCUACCAUGCUGAAAUCCAAUAGUAUCCAACUGCAGCCCCGGAGAACAACACCCUGCCAUGACAGAACACCCAGGCGGGACAGAAGUACUGUGGCUGGACGGAAGACAAAUACCGGUAAACGUAUUUAUCGCUUGAAUUAACAAAACAUAGAAAUAAAAUAAUAUUUCGACACGUUAGUAACCACUUUUAGAGCUUAAUAAAGGUUUAACGUUAUUUAGACAAAUACCUCAGGAUUUUUUCUUUGCGUUCUUAAACUUAUUAGACCAAAACAUUAGAAUAAAACAAUAUUAUGACAUGUCAGUAAGCUUUUUUUAUAGCUUAAUUUUAUUAACGUUAUAUAGACGAAAAAACUGAUUUAGGGUGUAGACAAUUAUUUAAUGGAAUUGUGUAUUAUACACUUUACUCAUUGAGUAAUUGACCAUUAGAAUUAAGUAAUUAGAAUUAAGUAAUUGUUUUAAUAUGUCUGAUUGAAUCACAUUAAUUUUUUUGUAAAGUAUACCAUCAUAAUUUGAUAUAAAUAUACAUUGAAGAAUAACCACACCAAAGUUUCUUCACAAUUUAUUUAACAAAUAAUCUACAGAAGCCAAAAGAUAUAGCUUCUUCAUGCUGACUGCCAUCAGCUUCAACUCACUGUCAAAAGAAUCAAACAGUUAAAAUCAAUAUUAAGCCUAUACAAUAUAUUAUUUGUAUUCUGUCACUGGAAACGUCAUUCACUUCUCUUUUUCGCUUCAGUCUGAAGACUGGAAGUAGUUCAGCCGCCAUUUGUUUGGCCUCCUCCAUGAAGUGUGGGAACCUUCUGCCGUGCCUGUAUAAAUAAAGAUAAAUGAUUGUAGGAAUUAUACAUAUUUUGUUAAUAUUGGGGUUGAGGUAUAUAUUCAUAUUUGAAAUAAACAAAAACAUACCCAUCCAGAUGGAAGUUCUCAAGCAGUACUGUGCACCACCAUUUUCUGAGGACAGGCAUGUCUUUCUAAAGUAAGGGGAUAUUCCAAGAAUUGACAAUGAUAAAAUAUGUAUACAAGUAUGAGUUUUUCGAUAUUGUAAC